CCCACCCCAUUGCAGAGUAUCCAGGUGGUUCAGGUGGGCUGAACCCAGCAGGAACUCUAUGGCGAGGCUCUGACUGGCGUAAGCCAAACAGCCUGUGCCUCUUUCUGGCCAUGUGAUUGGUGGGGGAGAUGAAGCUCGUGCCCCAGGCAUAAACCAAUCAAUGCCUGGCAUUCUAAUAGCUACUACGAUUCGUUCAGGUUUAUAGAACGAGAGAUGCGAGGUGAGGCGCUUUCUCCUCCAGGUUAGGAAAGAGGUGGUACGUAACCCCAGUUGCUGGCAGCCAUCCUGGAGUAGGAAACUGAAAGCACAGAUAAACGGAGCUAAAGUUCUAAUUCCACCGCGCCUGAUGUCUUCCUCACUCCUCGACUUUUCAGGUAUUAAAAAUGGAACCACUUGCUUCAGGACAAUGGGGCCAGUUGCUGGCACUGGAAGAAGACACCCCCUACCACAGUAUUUCAAGACACUGGAGGCCAUUCAUGAGGGAAGUAAAUAGGGGUUCAGCACCAACUGUCUCUAUGGCACCUUCCAACUCAAAAGCCAGUGGGAGCUCCCAACUGUGAGGGCCCAAAGAGAAAAAGAAACAGCAUCAAAAGCAGUGGUACAUCAGAUAAACAGAAACAUCUCCGAAAAAGCUUACUUUCAAGAACCAAAUGAGGUGGAGGCUUAAAAUUCUUACAGUGUAAACUGAAGGUUAAAAAAGCUUCCCUCUAGGUCAGUUUUUCUACAAAUAUUCUAAAGAGGGUGACAAACGGCAACUGUCACCACACCAGCCUCUGCUAAACGGAAACUGGAACUACCCACUACCCAGAAA